rnacentral:rRNA from 1 species
UCGACGGUGAGGGGUGAAAGCUGGGGGAGCAAACCGGAUUAGAUACCCGGGUAGUCCCAGCUGUAAACUAUGCAAACUCAGUGAUGCAUUGGCUUGUGGCCAAUGCAGUGCUGCAGGGAAGCCGUUAAGUUUGCCGCCUGGGAAGUACGUACGCAAGUAUGAAACUUAAAGGAAUUGGCGGGGGAGCACCACAAGGGGUGAAGCCUGCGGUUCAAUUGGAGUCAACGCCAGAAAUCUUACCCGGAGAGACAGCAGAAUGAAGGUCAAGCUGAAGACUUUACCAGACAAGCUGAGAGGUGGUGCAUGGCCGUCGCCAGCUCGUGCCGUGAGAUGUCCUGUUAAGUCAGGUAACGAGCGAGAUCCCUGCCUCUAGUUGCCACCAUUACUCUCAGGAGUAGUGGGGCGAAUUAGCGGGACCGCCGCAGUUAAUGCGGAGGAAGGAAGGGGCCACGGCAGGUCAGUAUGCCCCGAAACUCUGGGGCCACACGCGGGCUGCAAUGGUAGCGACAAUUGGUUUCGAAUCCGAAAGGAUGAGGUAAUCCACAAACGCUACCACAGUUAUGACUGAGGGCUGCAACUCGCCCUCACGAAUAUGGAAUCCCUAGUAACUGCGUGUCAUUAUCGCGCGGUGAAUACGUCCCUGCUCCUUGCACACACCGCCCU